rnacentral:sRNA from 1 species
UUGCUGUUAUGUCACAAACUAGCUUACUUUGAUUCUUGAGAUUUUCCUGGCAGG